CGACUCAGCCCAAAAUCGUAAGGCCCAAUCACUGUGUCGUCUUCCUCCCGUCCCUUUCCAAUUUGUACCAGCAUCAGGCACGCUCUCCGUCCCCCUUUCCCCUUUCGGAAUGAGUCAAAACCCCAAGGAAAAGGUGUUUGUCCGACUUGGUGAAGGAAUUCAAAUUUUUGAAUUUAGAAUUGGCCCCAAAUUUCUACCCGAUUCCCCCCGAAAUCUACCCUAAUUUCCCUUAUAUAAUCACCUCUUAUAUUUAUUUGUAAAGGGGGAUUUUUUUUUGAACAAAAAUACAAGGUAAGUUUUCUUGGCAGAAAUACAGAGAACAACCUUUAGGAACAAGUAGCAAUACACUCGAAAUACGCUCUUGAAUCGAGAAUUGCUAGGACUUCUGCCCAGUUCCUCGACUAUCAUUCGUGUUCAAGUUUCUCGUGGUGGAAAAACCAUCGUCCUCUACUCAUUGUCCUAGUUCGCUGCCCCACAAACGGUAAUCUUGGUACCUUUUCCUUGUUAUAUCUUACCCUUUUGUUCAGUAUGUUUGUAUUAGUUUAGGAAUCCAUGUUAGAUUUUCUGUUAUUUUGCAUAAAAAUGACAAUUAUAUAUAGUUCAAAGCUUGUGGUUUUUGCUCUAUGUUUAUAUGUACAUGAAUCACUUUCUAGUAUCUAAACAUUGCUCCAACAACUCUAUUUCUUUGUUUUCCUUUACUCGCUAUUAAACAUGGCCAUAGUUAGAGUCAAGAAUUAUAUUUCUAUACAUAUCAUAUCUAACUUGAGAUUAUGUUUGGAAAGUUUAUAUUGAGAAUAACUAUCUCAUUUGAAUAUAUGUACUUGUUUCUGAAUGCUCGAAUUAGUAUAAACUCAAUGACUACUAAUGUAACACUAAUGAAAAAGAAAUGUUUGUUUGAUGUGAAUUUACAAGUCUGUGAACUUCAUAAUUUAUUUAUUAUCUAGCUCACAUGUUUGAUCGAGAGUAUACUAUUUUCUAAUCAUUUUUAUCUCGUUUAUCUAUUUUGCAUGAACACCGGAGCCGAAGAGUUUCACUUGAGACUCGAUAAGGCCACUGAUGUACAGAUUCCAUUUAUUAUCACCCUCGUUCAUCUCUAUUUCGUUAAGACAGCCAACUUACAGAAGGAAAAAUCUUUUAUGGAGCUUACAUGGAUCUCGAUUAUUUUAUAUUACUUGCACAUCCUUACUUUUUCCUGCUUCAUAUUGGUUCAUACAUCGACCAACGGAGGAGAUAAUCUUUUCCUCUGUUAGAGCCAAGCAUGACCUUUAAUUACUUCAGCUUGUUUAAUUUAUUUGUGUUGAUGUGAUUAAUGUUUUGAGUUUACUUAUAUGUUCUCUAAUAUAUAACUAGUAGUUGUACUUAAUUUGGAGGUUUCUUUAAGCUAUGAGACAUUUCCCUCAUCACAU
rnacentral:lncRNA from 1 species